rnacentral:rRNA from 1 species
GAUCCUGGCUCAGGAUAAACGCUGGCGGCGUGCAUAACACAUUCAAGUCGAACGAAGCGCCGAGUUUGGAGACUUCGGUCAAAGAACGAGGAUGACUUAGUGGCGGACGGGUGAGUAACGCGUGAGCAACCUGCCUGUUAGUGGGGGAAUAACGUUUGGAAACGAACGCUAAUACCGCAUAAUACACAGACAACGCAUGUUGAUUGUGUCAAAGAUAUAUUGCUGACAGAUGGGCUCGCG